GAGAGGAGAGAGAGGACAGAGGUGUGAGGAGAGGAGAGGUGUGAAAAGGCAACCAGCAGUGAGACUGGAGAGAUCGUGAGGUGUGUCUUUCUAUCCGUUAGUUAUUUUUCCUC